ensembl:ncRNA ZK353.11 ncRNA
GUUGUUAUAUUCCAUAUCUGAAGAGCAUUUCAAAUUUCUUUUUGAUUUUUCAAACUGCAUAAAUGACGUGAUUUGAAGUGGCUUUUCACAGAGCAUUUUAUGCUCAAGUGGGAAAAGAUGAAAUAUCGAGAUGAUGAUGAUGCCUGACG